rnacentral:rRNA from 1 species
AACGAACGCUGGCGGCAUGCCUAACACAUGCAAGUCGAACGAAGUCUUCGGACUUAGUGGCGCACGGGUGCGUAACGCGUGGGAAUCUGCCCUUGGGUGCGGAAUAACUUCUCGAAAGGGAUGCUAAUACCGCAUAAUGUCGUAAGACCAAAGAUUUAUCGCCCAAGGAUGAGCCCGCGUAAGAUUAGCUAGUUGGUGGGGUAAAAGCCUACCAAGGCGACGAUCUUUAGCUGGUCUGAGAGGAUGAUCAGCCACACUGGGACUGAGACACGGCCCAGACUCCUACGGGAGGCAACAGUGGGGGAAUAUUGGACAAUGGGCGAAAGCCUGAUCCAGCAAUGCCGCGUGAGUGAUGAAGGCCCUAGGGUUGUAAAGGCUC